CCGCCCCCUUGCCAGAUCCUCACCGCGCGUGAGCGCCUCGUCCACAAAGCAGGCAGCCUCCCACGUGCCCCUCUCCCGCAACUUGUGCCCGACACCCCCGCCGGCGAUCUGCAGCAGCAACAGGACACCGCCGCCGUCGGAAGCAGCAGAGCCUCCCCCAUCCUACCACCGGCCUCCUCUCUCUCCUUCACCCUCUCUUGCGACGCACACAUGGGAGCUCAGAACGCGUUAAGUCGCCGGAACCUGCGCACUGCCGCCUGCCAUUGCGACCCUGCAUGCUCGCGUCAGCGGGAGCAUCUCCGGCACUGGCCUCGACCACGCCUCGUGGUGUCGACCUCCUCCUCCUCUUCCGGUGGAGAUUGGCAGGCCUCCUUUCCCAUUAAUUGUUGAUGCUCACCACUGGAUCCACGUCAUAGCAGCCGGAUCGACCGCCCUGACCACCAAGCGCCGCCUCGCCCUGUUCGUCUGGGACCUCUCCGUCGGCCUCGUACUCCUCCGCCCUGCCACCUGCUGCCUCGUAGUCCGUCAGGAGGAGGACGACCUUUGAAGGCAGGCCCUCCUCCCUCUUCUCCCUCUUCCCGAUCUCCUUCGCGCGGCCGAGGUAGGGGCUCGAUCCCGCGAGUGCCCGUCCGUCGAUCUUGCCAGCGUCCCUCGCCGUCGGCCUGUUCGGACGAUUGGACCCCCGCCUCUUCUUCCCUUUCUCUCUGCCUGCUUGCUCCUACAGCCGGCCGUCCAGCACGCCGUCAUCUUCCCUCGCAGAGGCGCCGCCUCUCUCUGCUCCUCUCGUGCUCCGAUCACCGCAAGCCGCCAACGAUUAAUUGUGUGCUUGGGAGAUUAGUACCACCUCGUUUAUAUUACAAUUUUGUCCAUACAAAUUAUAAAAGCAUAUUUUAACAUGAGAAGAAAGCGUAUUGUGACGGUGAACCCGGAGACCCAAUCUAUGCUUUAUUAUUAGGGAGAGACUAGCAAAAUAUGCCCGUGCGUUGCAACGGGAGAAACAGAUCCUUGCACAUCCCUACUAACCCAUAUGCAUUACCACUUCUUCCCUUCGCCACCAUUGUUGAUGAUGGUCUUGUUGUGCGCAUAUUCAUACCAAGGUGAUGAGCUUGGUCAUCAUACUCUAGCACGUCGUAUCGAGAGCCCCUUUUCCGUGCCAACUUGUAAUUAUGCGGACUUGUAAUGAUGGUGGGUUUUUGUCUCAACUACACUUGGUGCAUGUACCAUCACCA